UUAGGAUAGGAUAGAGUUUUGUAUGAAUAGAACUCCUAUUCCUACUUUGGAUAGAGUUUUAAUCAUGUGGGGCACCUAUUCUAGCUUGUUAAGAUAAUAGUUUUAGUUAAAAGGGACAUCUAUUCCUAUUAUGGAUAGAGUUUCCUAUUUCAAUUACACUUUCCUUUCCUAUUGUAAGUACACUUUUAGUUUCUAUAUAUUGAUAUAAGCGCCAUCUCUAUAUGAUUUUGAUGAAUAAAGAGAUGGCUUUUGCUGUUUGUGGUCUGUGUGAUUCAGAUUCUGGUUGUGUGACCCAACUACCCUAUUGGUGAGAUUCCAAUACU